GUGUCAGCAGCCGCGGUAAUACGUAGGGUGCAAGCGUUAAUCGGAAUUACUGGGCGUAAAGCGUGCGCAGGCGGUUAGAUAAGCCAGAUGUGAAAUCCCCGAGCUCAACUUGGGAACUGCGUUUGGAACUGUUUAACUAGAGUGCGUCAGAGGGGGGUGGAAUUCCGCGUGUAGCAGUGAAAUGCGUAGAGAUGCGGAGGAACACCGAUGGCGAAGGCAGCCCCCUGGGAUGACACUGACGCUCAUGCACGAAAGCGUGGGGAGCAAACAGGAUUAGAUACCCUCGUAGUCC
rnacentral:rRNA from 1 species